rnacentral:ncRNA from 1 species
GAGGUAGAGGUUGCAGUCAUUAAGAGUAUCAUUUCAGGAGAUGUAGUGGCAUUGAUGAAGGAAUGAGAAAGGAAUGAUUGCCGAAGUAAGCCCGUGUCCACCAUGCACGCUUGCUGGGUCUGCAUUUAAUAAGUGCAGAACUGUCACAAACGUUUCGUUUGUGGAGAGCUAUCGA